rnacentral:rRNA from 1 species
AACGCGAAGAACCUUACCUGGGUUUGACAUACACCAGACGCCAGCAGAGAUGUUGGUUCCCUUGUGGUUGGUGUACAGGUGGUGCAUGGCUGUCGUCAGCUCGUGUCGUGAGAUGUUGGGUUAAGUCCCGCAACGAGCGCAACCCUUGUCCUGUAUUGCCAGCGGGUUAUGCCGGGGACUUGCAGGAGACUGCCGGGGUCAACUCGGAGGAAGGUGGGGAUGACGUCAAGUCAUCAUGCCCCUUAUGUCCAGGGCUUCACACAUGCUACAAUGGCCGGUACAGAGGGCUGCGAUACCGUGAGGUGGAGCGAAUCCCUUAAAGCCGGUCUCAGUUCGGAUCGGGGUCUGCAACUCGACCUCAUGAAGUCGGAGUCGCUAGUAAUCGCAGAUCAGCAACGCUGCGGUGAAUACGUUCCCGGGUCUUGUACACACCG